rnacentral:rRNA from 1 species
UACGUAGGGGGCGAGCGUUGUCCGGAAUCAUUGGGCGUAAAGAGCUCGUAGGCGGUUCAGUAAGUCAGGUGUGAAAGCUCCGAGCUCAACUCGGAGAGGCCACCUGAUACUGCUGUGACUAGAAUCCAGUAGGGGAGUGUGGAACUCCUGGUGUAGCGGUGAAAUGCGCAGAUAUCAGGAGGAACACCGGUGGCGAAGGCGGUCCUCUGGGCCUUACCUGACGCUGAGGAGCGAAAGCGUGGGGAGCGAACAGG